AUUGAAGUAGCAUCCAUGUAUGCUCCAUCACUGCAGUUAUUUAUUUCACUUAUACAUGUACAUGUAGUUUGACAAAGGUGACAUUGAUAUAGGAGCCUGGUUUUGUUUCCAGGUGAUAUAACUGUAUGUUCCAUAAAGCUAUUAUUAGUCAUUCCAAUUUUACAAAUCUGAUGGGAGUAAAAAAGAAUUAGCAAAAUUGAGAGAAUUUUUAAUAUAUUUAAGUACAAGCUCAAGUGCAUAGACUACAACACAAAUGACUAUUUAAUACUUUUAAUGAACUCUUUAAUCAUGCAAAAUUUUAUUGGUGGUCCACACUCAACAGUCUUCCUUAUACAUGUACAUUAAUUGUACUUCAAGUAAAAUCUAGCUAAAUAAAGGCAACAGUAGUAUACUGGUGAUCAAGACAUAAAAUCAAUUAAGCAAAAAGAAAUUUUGGGUCACAAACCAAAAUCGAGAGAAACACAUCAACAAUAAGAGGAAAAUAACAGAACAACAAAAACAAAUCCAACAUACAUAGAAACCGGCUAUUUGAUAAUAACUGCCAUGUUUCUAACUUGGAACAGGACAUUUUAAGAAAAAUUUUUGGGCAGUUAACCUUAACCAAAGUUAUAGAAGAUUUAGUUUAGAAGAAAACAAACACAUUUUUCUUGCAACUGAUAUUUUGUAGCGAAAAACAUGCCAAGUGGCUUCUUAUCACACCCUGCCCCUUACUACUUAUAAAUGAUACAAAUUUUUCAAUUUUUAAUGUGUUCUUUUCUCAGGUUAAGUUUAAAUUGUUAGCCAAAAUAUAUUUUUUUACAUCAUACUACACAUUGUACCACUUUAUGCAUAUUAUACAAAAACUAGUCAAAAUGUGAUUGCUUGAUAUACUGUCUCAUUUGUGCUUUAUUAUGAUUAAUUAAAUUUUUGGCAUACUGUCUCAUAACAUCUAUUUAUUCUUUUUUUAUGGCUUCAGAAGUUUCACAUGAUUCAGAAUGUGAAAUUUUCAAGUAUUUUAUGUCCAAAAAGGGUUGUUUUCUGAGUUUUCAAGGUUUUAUACUUUCAGUCAUAUAUCAUCAUGUUUCAAAGGUCUUAUUAAAGAGAUUAUUAAAUCCUCCCACAAAAACUUCACUCUAGUAUUUUUUUCUUUUAACACCAUAGUCAUUCCCCUUAACCCAAAAUCCUUGUUACCAUUGAAAAGUAAAAUACUCUAUCAUAACAUAACUUUGCAGUUCAUCAAAAUUUCAAAUUUCAAUUUUCUACCAAGCAGGUGCCAGGCC
rnacentral:lncRNA from 1 species